ACAAGAGUUUGAUCCUGGCUCAGGACGAACGCUGGCGGCGCGCCUAACACAUGCAAGUCGAACGGGGUAUAUAGUUGAGUAAUCGAAUAUAUACCUAGUGGCGGACGGGUGAGUAACGCGUGAGCAACCUGCCUCUUACAGGGGGAUAACGUACCGAAAGGCACACUAAUACCGCAUAUAAAACAAUUACGCAUGUAGUUGUAUAGAAAGGGAUUACCGGUAAGAGAUGGGCUCGCGUCCGAUUAGAUAGUUGGUAGGGUAACGGCCUACCAAGUCAACGAUCGGUAGCCGACCUGAGAGGGUGAUCGGC
rnacentral:rRNA from 1 species